rnacentral:rRNA from 1 species
UUUGGAAGUAAAAAAGUCGUAACAAGGUCUCGUUGGUGAACCAGCGGGGGAUCAUUGC